rnacentral:rRNA from 1 species
AUUGAACGCUGGCGGCAGGCCUAACACAUGCAAGUCGAGCGGAUGAAGGGAGCUUGCUCCUGGAUUCAGCGGCGGACGGGUGAGUAAUGCCUAGGAAUAUGCCUGGUAGUGGGGGAUAACGUCCGGAAACGGGCGCUAAUACCGCAUACGACCUGAGGGAGAAAGAGGGGGAUCUUCGGACCUCACGCUAUCAGAUGAGCCUAGGUCGGACUAGCUAGUUGGUGGGGUAAGGGCCUACCAAGGCGACGAUCCGUAACUGGUCUGAGAGGAUGAUCAGUCACACUGGAACUGAGACACGGUCCAGACUCCUACGGGAGGCAGCAGUGGGGAAUAUUGGACAAUGGGCGAAAGCCUUAUCCAGCCAUGCCGCGUGUGUGAAGAAGGUCUUCGGAUUGUAAAGCACUUUAAGUUGGGAGGAAGGGCAGUAAGUUAAUACCUUGCUGUUUUGACGUUACCAACAGAAUAAGCACCGACUAACUUCGUG